UCUAGAAAAUACAGCUUUCACAGUAGGACUUUGUAGUUUAUGUACUUCAUUGUUGUAGAACCAUCGUUAAGUUUAGUAGUAUUUGAUUUGAAAAUAUGUGAUGUUCCACGGCAAAAGGUACCUUAUGGCGGCGCCAACCGCUAUAAGGUACCUUUACCCGUGGGACGUCACAUAUGCUUAUUUAUCCAUAACCUACUAACAAAUGAUUUUGAAAAAUAAUGUUGGUUUGGAAAUUUAGUGCUUUAUAUAUUUUUUUGGAUUUAAAUUGGAAUUCUGAAUAAUAGCAACGGUUCAUGCAUGUUUGACUAGUAUUAAAUUAUAAAUGAAGUGUACAUGUAUGUUUCACUUAAGACUAAAACAGCACCAAUAUAAUAAACUCAAAAGAGUGUAAAAAAACUUAAAGUAAUAAUGUGUACUUAAAAUGUACAGUUAAAAUGGUCAGUACUGGAGUAAAACCUUGAUGUUUGAAAUUAAAUACUAAUCAUUUCAAAACAAUAAUAAAAAGUACUCUUCAUUGCAUUUUAAGACAUAAUAAUGUACUGGAAAAAUGAAAAUUAAAUAAUGUAACGUUUAGAAACAUAGUUUUCAUUUAUUCAUAAUUCAAAAUUGACUUUGUAAGCUCUAGCAUGAGAUAACUGUUAACUGUACAUAUUUAUAAAGCUGAUAUAUAACUCCAACAAGUCUAAUAUCGAGCUCUUGAAGUGAUUUGUUCAGAAAUGUACGCUUGUUGGAUUUUGCCUAGUAUUUAAUGAGGAUCGACAAUUAUAUAUGACUUAAAAACAACAAUACUUAAUGACAAAUUUUCUUUUUAGGCAUUCCAAAAUAUGAUAGAUUUAAUGUGAGACCUAUAAGAACGAUAUUCUGCAUUUUUUAGCAUUCUGCAUUUAGUAGCAAAUAGAUUGUGACGGUCUAAGUGGACAUAUUAUAUCGUAGCAUAUAAGGAUGUGUGCCGAUAUUUUUGGACACUUUGGCGGUCUCUAUCCAUCUGCACCUUUUGGAGUUUCUACACUUGUUGUUAUAUAACAUCGUGUGACAGGGACAACAUGACAGUAUUAAUAGUGUUUUAUUAUGUUGUUACUGUCACACAAUGUGGACCGCCAUUAUUUUAGAAUGGAAUUGUCAAAUAUAUUUGUUGUCGAUUAAUUUUAAUAUAGUGAACUAUGAACAGAUCUACGUUAGUGUAAGUGAGGUAUGUAUGCGUAAGGCGGGCCUAGGAUAUGACUAUAUCUACGGUUAGUGGUGUAUACGAAUACAAAAUAGUUAUAUUUUGCGAUGAGUUAUGAAUAUAUGAGAUUUUAUAACA